AUUGAACGCUGGCGGCAUGCUUUACACAUGCAAGUCGAACGGUAACAGGGAGCUUGCUCCGCUGACGAGUGGCGAACGGGUGAGUAAUGCAUCGGAACGUACCGUGUAAUGGGGGAUAACGUAGCGAAAGUUACGCUAAUACCGCAUACGCCCUGAGGGGGAAAGCGGGGGAUCGUAAGACCUCGCGUUAUACGAGCGGCCGAUGUCGGAUUAGCUAGUUGGUGGGGUAAAGGCCUACCAAGGCGACGAUCCGUAGCGGGUCUGAGAGGAUGAUCCGCCACACUGGGACUGAGACACGGCCCAGACUCCUACGGGAGGCAGCAGUGGGGAAUUUUGGACAAUGGGGGCAACCCUGAUCCAGCCAUGCCGCGUGAGUGAAGAA
rnacentral:rRNA from 1 species